UCUAAUCACAGGUUAAAGAUGUCAUUGGUAAGAUGGUCAAGAAAAGUUCAUGGCCUUAAUUAUAGAUAGUGUUAAAGCACAAUUCUAAAUAUAUAUAUUUUCCCUUAUUUUCACAGAGGCCUUCCAGGAGUUGGAUAGAGAAGGCACUGGAACUGCUGAAAUGAAUAUCACAGAGUGGCUGAUUAUGACCAUGUGUGGUUGAAGUGUAUGGUGAUCUUGUAUGUUGUAGAAGAGGACACAUACACACCCAUAGUAGAGGACAACCAUAGCCUCAAAGUGCCUCCAAAGCAUCUCAGUGCACCCAACUAAGGCUUGCAUCAUCUCAAACAAUCCCAAAGAAACUUCUACUCCCUACUUUUUUAUCACCACUACAAAUACCUUGCUGCCUCUGCUCAAUAACUUGGCAAAUGCAUUUAUCCUGGUCAAUUACACGUGAUGAAAAUGAAAUGCUUUACUAAGGGAGUCGCUGCAUAUAAAUCACUGCACGCAUUAUACAAUGGCAAUGUUUUCAGGGCAUACCGUUGUGCAAAGAAUGCCUGUAUUGUUUAAGUUCCAUUCCAAACCUUUUAGGUUUUUCUCUCUUUUGUUUAACCAUCAAAAUCAGAUGCUAGUCUGUAAUAAGAGAUAAUAUCGUACUCUGUGACUGUAUGUAUUUUUUGCUACCUUUCGCAAGAUCUUGGAUUAUAGAAAGUAUGUAGAGCUAUAGGCUGCUAAUGAACUGUAAAUUGUACUGAUGCCUUAGUCUUUAGGAUACCUCAGUACAGUACACUACAUCAGUUAAAGACAGAAAUAUAACUAAUCUUUUUCUCAAGAUCGCAAUUUUUGUCUAAAAAUUGGUGAGGGUACUUUAAACUAAAACACUAAAUGUAGGAAAGAGACUCCUCAAAAUGUGACAAGGUAAAAAGUAACUUUGAGGGUUAUGCUGAACUGCACAUUUUAAUUCUGCGAAGAAUGUCACUGAAAAAAAAACUGACUUAUCAUAUAACUUUUGAGUUAUUCAUUUUCUAAAGAUGAUUAACAUGGUUAGUGCAUAGUUAUAAUCCCUAAUGCAUACAAGGUGUGUAUGAAUGUAACCAUUUGUUACUUAUUAUUUAUCGUUGAUAUGAAAGAUAAGGUCCUUUUGCUUCCAAAACCGUACCUCAAGCGAUGCAUGUUAAUGUUCAGAUCGAGCGUCUGGGAUCUAAAGAACUCUCCCCUACAGAAGACACCUUCGUCCAAUGACUUAUAGUAUAAUGUAAUGGAAUUUAAGAGUCAUGAUCAAGGGCUACCCCACCACUUGGUUUGCUGAGAGGUAGGAUGGGACUGGAGAAAUGUAACCACUUUCAUAUGCAUACAUAGACAUGCAAGGACUAACAGUCCAUGAGAUCUUGAUUAAACGUUUGAAAGCUACAACCUUA